CCGAGGCGAUCGGGUGAACUGUGGUUAAGGAACUCGGCAAAUUGCCCCCGUAACUUAGGGAGAAGGGGGGCCGGAGACGUGAAGGGACUUGCUCCUGGAGCGUUGUAUGGCCGCAGAGAGCAGGGGGAAGCGACUGUUUACUAAAAACACAGGUCCAUGCGAAGAAGUAAUUCGAUGUAUAUGGACUGACGCCUGCCCGGUGCUGGAACGUUAAGGGGACCGGUUAGUCUUUCGGGGCGAAGCUGAGAACUUAAGCGCCAGUAAACGGCGGUGGUAACUAUAACCAUCCUAAGGUAGCGAAAUUCCUUGUCGGGUAAGUUCCGACCUGCACGAAUGGCGUAACGACUUCCCCACUGUCACAACCACAGGCCCGGCGAAAUUGCAGUACGAGUAAAGAUGCUCGUUACGCGCGGCAGGACGGAAAGACCCCGGGACCUUUACUAUAGCUUGACAUUGGUACUUGAAUUAGCUUGUGUAGGAUAGGUGGGAGCCGGUGAAGUCCAUACGCCAGUAUGGGUGGAGGCAAUCUUGAAAUACCACUCUGGUUGGUUUGGGUAUCUAACUUCGGGCCCUUAUCGGGUUCAGGGACAGUGUCUGGUGGGUAGUUUAACUGGGGCGGUUGCCUCCUAAAAUAUAACGGAGGCGCCCAAAGGUUCCCUCAGCCUGGUUGGCAAUCAGGUGUUGAGUGUAAGUGUAUAAGGGAGCUUGACUGUGAGACUGACGGGUCGAGCAGGGACGAAAGUCGGGACUAGUGAUCCGGCACUUGCGUGUGGAAGCGGUGUCGCUCAACGGAUAAAAGGUACCCCGGGGAUAACAGGCUGAUCUUCCCCAAGAGUCCAUAUCGACGGGAUGGUUUGGCACCUCGAUGUCGGCUCGUCGCAUCCUGGGGCUGUAGCAGGUCCCAAGGGUUGGGCUGUUCGCCCAUUAAAGCGGUACGCGAGCUGGGUUUAGAACGUCGUGAGACAGUUCGGUCCCUAUCCGCCGUGCGCGUAGGAUACUUGAGAAGGGCUGUCCCUAGUACGAGAGGACCGGGACGGACGAACCUCUGGUGUGCCAGUUGUCCCGCCAGGGGCAUGGCUGGUUGGCUACGUUCGGAAGGGAUAACCGCUGAAAGCAUCUAAGCGGGAAGCCUGCUUCAAGAUGAGGUAUCCCACCCCUGUAAAGGGGGUAAGGCCCCCAGGUAGACGACUGGGUUGAUAGGCCGGAAAUGUAAGCCAGGUAACUGGUUCAGUUGACCGGUACUAAUAGGCCGAGGACUUGACUAC
rnacentral:rRNA from 1 species